rnacentral:ncRNA from 1 species
UUCUUCGGGGCAGGGUGACCUGGAAAAGGAAUUCCCUACCGGCGGUAAAGUCCGCGACCCGCAUGAUGCGGCUGAUUUGGUGAUCUGAGUUUCAGAAAUUCCAAAACCGACAGUAAAGUCUGGAUGAGAGAAGAU